CCAAUCAGUAGCAAUACUGAGGAAGGGUGAGUGGCGAACGGGUGAGUAACACGUGAGAAACCUAUCCUGGUCUCUGGGAUAACAGUUGGAAACAGCUGCUAAUACUGGAUGCCGUCGGAGCGUCGCAUGGCGCGCUGACGAAAGGGUUACUGGAUCAGGAGGGUCUCGCGGCCUAUCAGCUAGAUGGUGGGGUAACGGCCUACCAUGGCAUCGACGGGUAGCUGGUCUGAGAGGAUGAUCAGCCACACUGGGACUGAGACACGGCCCAGACUCC
rnacentral:rRNA from 1 species